rnacentral:misc_RNA from 1 species
CAAGAACACCCAUGUUGAAAUUAAUUAAUGCUGUUGCUCUGAUCUUCUGAUUUAUUCGAUCAAUCAACGAAAAGAUUUAUAAAGAUAAGGAUUAAUGAAAGAGAGAAAAUGCAUGGGAAGGAUCAGAAAAUCCGCAAAGGAUUUUAUGGGUAUGUGUGUUGCUCAUGAAACCAAGUAAAGAAUUUGUCUAGGCCAAGCCUAAAGUUUUCUUUCCCCCAAAGAACAAG